GAAAAUCUCUUCCUGCCCACAAGUUUGCAGUCACUUGGAGGAGUUCAGAGGUCACAGUCCAACAGGUCUACCAGACUGCAGUGUCCACCCAACAUUAUGUCUAGACCUCUGAGCUCCAUGUCUGGCGGCAACCUUCAUAACUUGAUGUCAAUGCUUUCAUCAACAUCAGCACACCGAUCACCAUAUGCAGAAUAUCAAUGAAGAACACCAUGCAACUUGUAUGGGGCACUGUCUG